rnacentral:tRNA from 1 species
GAUAAGAUGGCUGAGAUUAAUAGGUUAUAAAUUGUAAAUUUAUAUAGGGUAGUUUACCUCUUAUCA